rnacentral:misc_RNA from 1 species
GUGCAUUUCAUCUGUGAUCAGGCAAACACGUCGGACAUGAGCAGUUGGCAUUCUGAAGCAAUUGUCCCUGAUAAUGAUUGCAGACUUGUACAUGCUAAGUCAUGCGUGUACAUAGAUUCUUAUGGUUCUAGCUAUAUUAAGUUUAUUGAGAUUUCCAAGCUGAGGUUCGUCCACCAAGAUCUCCCAGAGAAGUUAUGUAUU